UGUGUUUCAGGAGAGUGUUGACAGACUCGCCCCUUCACAGAAGAGAUGAAGAUUGUCGUGUUUGCUCUUCUGCUCUCAGCUCAUUGUGAGUUGACAACAGCUCUGAGAAAAAAACACUUUUAUUUUAAUAAUUCCACAACAUGGACAAAAGCUCAAAGCUUCUGCAAAGCCUACUAUCAUGACUUGUCCAAUCUUGACAGCAUGGAGGAUAUUACAGCAUUAGACACUGCAAGCGGUCGUUCAUACUCACUUAGCUGGGUUGGUUUGAAAUUGUCCUUAAUUGGCUGGGAGUGGAGUGGUGGAGGGAAUAACAGUUUUAUUAUUUGGAAACCAGGACAACCAGACAAAAAUGUACCUUGCGCUGCAGUUGAUAAAGGUGAGUUGGAUGACAAGGACUGUAAUGAAUCACAUCCUUACUUCUGCUACAAGUGGGACUCAAGUGUGUCUGAACUGAUUGUGGUUAAAGAGAAUAAGAGCUGGGAGGACGCGUUACAAUACUGCAGGACUCAUCACACUGAUCUGGCCAGUAUGCCAACAAAUCUCACCCAAGACCAAAAAUCCACUGCUGAGACAUCAAGUGUGUGGACAGGUCUACGGUUCCUGGCAGGAUCAUGGUUCUGGUUAAGUGGUAUGAAUUUGGGAAACCUUAGUGUCCAGCUGCCAGCCUGUCCUGCCAAUUACACUUACUGUGGAUCUCUAAACCUUAUAACUCAGAACUGGGAGAACAGAAACUGUAUGGAGGAACUUUACUUUGUUUGCUAUUCUAGAGGAGGGCUUUAAGAAGAUCAUGAAAGAAAAGAUGACAAAUAAAGAAAUAUACAGAUGUGUUAUAACAAAAAGUUAAUUAGCAAAGCAUAGUGUCUACAAUUUACAUAGAAGUAGUGCAUUUUUGAUGAAUAUAAAAAUUGGUAACACUUUAUUUCGAUAGUCCACUUUAGACAUUUUACUAAUUAUAAGUAACUUUGCAACUACAUAUCAACUACCAAUCUUUAGAGAAUUAGUAGACUGUCUGCUUAAUAUCUACUAACACUUUAUUGUGAUGAUAUCUCAACAGACAUUCAACUGACUAUAAGUAUCUUUUCAGGUGCAUGUCAACUUAUUCCACUAACCCAAACCUCUUCCCUAACCCCAACCCUUACAGUCUACUAAUACUCUAAUGACAGUUAGUUGACGUAUAGUUGCAAUUUAUAGAAAGGUAGUUGGCAUGCAGUUGCAAAGGUAUUUAUAGUACAAAUACAGUAAAAUGUCUAAAGUGGACUAUCAAAAUAAAGUGUAACCUAAAAGUUAUUAAAAAACUCUAUUUUAUGUGAUACACUUCACAAAAGGGUUGUAUUUGUUAACAUUAAUCUCACAUGAACAACAUGAACCCACAAUGUGCUAGUUUUUCAUCAUUUUUUAAACUUUGUUUGUAAAUAUCAAUACUGUUGUUCAUGUUAGUUCAUUGUGAGAUUUUAAAUAAGAUAACAAGAUAGACUUCAUUAAAUUUACACAAAUAUUUAAGUUAACUGAACCUUCUUUACUUAAAAAAUAUAUAACACCAGAUUAUAUAGCCUAACUUAUAAUGCUCUAUAAAAAGACAAUGUGAGAUUUUCACUUUGUGGCAUAGAUUUAUGCAUUAAGUUAUGUUUGCUUGUUUCUGUGAUUUGUUCUCUUGUUUUGUUUUGUUGUUUUUUGUCUUUGAUUUAGUGCCACUUGCCCUUUUGUUUGUCUGUGACUUUUUCCUGUAAAUAUUAUUUACCACUUAAUCACUUGAAACCAACAACUUCACCUGAUAUAAAUAAAUCACCUUCUGGACUUGCA